CGCAUCUGUGCAUGCAGCAUAUCAAUAAGCGGAGGAAAAGAAACUAACAAGGAUUCCCCUAGUAACGGCGAGUGAAGCGGGAAGAGCUCAAAUUUGAAAUCUUAAAGGGUUUCCCUUUACGAAUUGUAGUUUAAAGAAGUGUUUUCUGUUGAGGUUUUGGUAAAAGUUCUUUGGAAUAGGACAUCAUAGAGGGUGAGAAUCCCGUAUUUGACCUUUACUUUCCAACUUUGUGAUACACUUUCAAAGAGUCGGAUUGUUUGGGAAUGCAGUCCAAAAUGGGUGGUAAAUUUCAUCUAAAGCUAAAGUAUUGGCGAGAGACCGAUAGCGAACAAGUACCGUGAGGGAAAGAUGAAAAGAACUUUGAAAAGAGAGUUAAACAGUACGUGAAAUUGUCAAAAGGGAAGCGUUUGACACCAGUGUUGUUUUUCUGAAAAUCAAUUAAAGAACUGUUUAUGCUAAGUUGUUUAGACUUUAUCAGCUAUCUGUUUAGUUUUGAGCUUUUCUUUAAUGCACUUUUCAGUUAACAAGUCAACAUCAAUUUCUUUUGCUGUAAAAAAGCUUGAGGAAGGUGGCUUGAGAUUCGUCUUAAGUGUUUAUAGCCUCUUGCCUAUGCAGUCGGAGAGAUUGAGGUCUGCAGCGUAGAUCCUUCGGGGCUAAAUGCAUUUGUGCUAAGUUAUAGCAUUUUAUAGACAACUUGUUGACUAUGAUUUGUCUUGUAGCUUACUCGCUUAUGUUAUUUUACCUACGCUUAGGAUGUUGAGUCGUAGAGCACGCAG
rnacentral:rRNA from 1 species